rnacentral:misc_RNA from 1 species
GAUGAAGAACGCAGCGAAAUGCGAUAAGUAAUGUGAAUUGCAGAAUUCAGUGAAUCAUCGAAUCUUUGAACGCACAUUGCGCCCGCCAGUAUUCUGGCGGGCAUGCCUGUUCGAGCGACAUUUCAACCAUCAAGCCCCCGGCUUGUGUUGGGGACCUGCGGCUGCCGCAGGCCCUGAAAACCAGUGGCGGGCUCGCUAGUCACUCCGAGCGUAGUAAUACAUCUCGCUCAGGGCGUGCUGCGGGUUCCGGCCGUUAAAAAGCCUUAUUUACCCAAGGUUGACCUCGGAUCAGGUAGGAAGACCCGCUGAACUUAAGCAUAUCAAUAAGCGGAGGA